ACUUGUAUUAGGAGAAGCCCUGGGGUACAUAUAGAAUUUUUGAAAUUUUCAGUUCUCCCUUUAGUUCUUCCGCUCUCGCCGCCGUUAACUUGCCGGCAAGAAAAAGAACGAUGGAUUCUUCCGACAAGUGGAAGGCUCUAUGGAAAAUAUGGUCAUCCUUUUCCUCGCCACUUCUCCUCUCGAAUUCACACGAAGAGUCCUCUUCAAAACGGCGCCGGAUUGAUAGUCCAAUUGGACCUUUGAUUUUCAGACCAUGUGAAGAAACGCUGACGCCACUCCUUCGCUCGCCAUUGUUAUCAACUCGGAUUCCUUCUCCUGUACCUGACCUCUCUUUACCAAGAUUCCUUCAAACUUCAAGUGGUAUGCUUUUUUCUACCGCUUCUUCAAUUGCUACAGAGUUUAGUCCACAGGUUUCUGACACAAUUCACAACUUUAACUCAAUCCAGUUUCUUCCUCUUCCUAAUUUUGGUGAAAAUAGCAAACCCAAUUCAAUUAUAGGAAUUUCUCCAACGGGAGAGAACUAUGACCAAGUUGGGCUAUUUAUGCUCUGUUCUGAAGAUACCCAAUUUGUGGCUAAGAAAUUCAAGAAUGGUACAUCUAUUUUAGUGCAUAAUCACAAGUUGAAUUUUAGAAUUUUGAGGUUAUUAGUGAACCCAGUUAGUGAAAUUGAUGAUUCUUGUUCUUCUAGUUGUAUUACUUUUGGGUAUUUAUUGGUUUGUACUUUGUAUUCUGUUCAUUGGUAUAGUGUAAAGAUAGGGGUUAAAGGAGAUGAAAAUGUUAUGUUAGAUUAUGUGGGUAGUGCUGAUAGAAACUUGUUCAAGGGUGGGAUUGUUUCUCAUGCUUGUUGGAGUCCACAUCUGAGAGAAGAGUGUGUGGUGAUGUUGAAAAAUGGGGAGAUGUUUUUGUUUGAUAUGGGUUCUUGCGGAAAGAGUCAGGCUUUCUGUGCUUCUGAUGUAUUGCAAGGCAAGAAAUUGCAAGUUUUGUGGGAUAAGUUGGAUAGAGAUGAACAUUGGGUAACCUGUGAAUUUAGCUGGCAUCCAAGGAUUUUGAUUGUUGCAAACUCAAGGACUGUAUUUUUGGUGGAUUUGAGGUCAGACAAGUGCAAAGUCUGCACCUUGCUAAAUAUUGAGGCAGUGUCGUCGGGUAGAACUGAUAGAUUUAUUGCACUUUCUAGAGUGGAGGCUGACGUCUUCUGUUUUACUGCUGUUUCUGGACGCUCCCUUCUUCUUUGUGAUGUGCGGAAGCCAUUGAUGCCAUUGUUGCAGUGGGUACAUGGUCUGAAUAAUCCAGCUUACGUGACUGUUUUGAGAUUGUCUGACCUGAGGCGACGUACUAGAGAUGAUAAAUGGGCUUGGGCUACUGAAUCAGGGCGUUGCAUUUUGGUAGGAUCAUUCUGGGACUGUGAAUUUGCUCUAUUCUGCUAUGGGCCGGACUACAAUCACAGCCAUAAAUUUUCAGAAAUUGCGAGGCUCAGUAAAUCAGUAAAUGCUUGGGGGCUACCUUCAGACCUCUCAUUGUCUGGUCGUGAUUGCUGUUGUGAAAGUUGUCUUAUGAGAGCAAAUUUCUCUGAAGAUUUUCUUUCUGAUUGGAUUGAUUGGAGGCAAAAGAAAGUCAUUGUUUUGGGGUUUGGUAUUCUCAACAAUGGCCUUUCUAUCCGAUCAGAUGAUACUGAUAGCUCUGCUAGCUUUUCCCUUGUAAGGUUAAUGUCCUGUGGCAGUUUAGAAGCUCAGAGAUACACUGCAGAAUGGGACUCUGAGGAGAAGUCAGACGCACCUUAUGGAGGAAAUUCUCUGUGUUCUGAAAAUAACCUUCUAUAUGAUAUGGGUGUUGAAGAAUUGGAAUUGAAGAAGAGCCACAUCUACCUGGGCCUUGACUUUCUUAAAGAGUAUCUGAAUGGAAGUCUACCUAAAUUCAUUAGUAGAGUAUACAGAGAGAAUCUAAAGGAUUCUGAAGAAAACCGGUCGGAGUUCCACCAGCAAAUAUGUCAGAAGAUUCAAGAAUGUGGCGUCGCAAGACUAAAAUCAUCUCUAACCGUUUCUGAUGUAAUCAAAGGUAUCAGCUUGCCAGCAAGCAUUUAUGAGAUUGCACUAGAAAGCAUUAGCAUCAGUUUGCCUAAUAAUCUUCUGGGGUUCACUUUCUCUGCCUUCUUGAGAUUCCCUGAAUUUCCCCUGAAACCGAAGAAACUUCCUCUAGAAUUUUCUGACAUUUUCGACAGACUAUGUCCUCUGCCUUUUCCCUUGCAUAAAUGUUGUAUUGAUGAGACACCAGAAGAAGUUCCGUCUUGCCGUUCUUCUGGUCCCUUUCUUCCUCCUCCUUUUCUGGUAGCUCUUAAUAACCUUCGAAUUGCAGAAAGAGAUAUAUUGCCACUUGAUGCUGAGUUGAGGCUUCAAAGUGAUAAAGUUAUGAAGGUGGCCUGUGAAAUCGGUUUGUCACACUCUGAUAAUGAGCCUGAUGAUGGCUAUUCAGUUUCCCUUGAUGCAGAUACUGAGUGCCCUAGCGAUUGGAUGGAAAAAAUGAGGCCUCUCUGUUUACAUGAACCUGUGGCAUUCUCAGACUGUUAUAUCUCAAAAAUGGAUUUGGGAGUAGAACCUGAUAAAAGAUUUACAACGUUCAUCUAUAAAAAACACGAAGAACCUAUCUCAAAUGCCAGCAAAGAGAUGACAGGAGUGGAGUUGUUCGAUGAGGGGUGUCCAGUAGAGCUUAAAUUCAAUGAUAGUCUCGCAAUGCUGGGGGCGAAUGAGCUGCAAACUUUUAGAUUGUUGAAACAAAAGGAUUUAGGUUUCCAGAAAAAAUUUCAGCUGUAUCAAGAGUAUUUAACUGGAUGUCAUAAGUGAUGACAAGGUCCCGAGUUUUCCUAUUUACUUCUUCUAAAUUACUUGGCUAUUUUAUUUGAAAUAUGAUUGUUUCAGUGAAGUACUGUUAGGAGUAUCCGGUGUUCUCCAAGAAAUACUACUUUCAAUGAGGGAACCAUGUGUAUCAAAGAUUGAAAUGGAAGAAGCUGAAUUGUACUCACUCAAGAAUUCAAGACAGAAUGGGCCCACGACAGUCAAAAUUUCAUUUCAAAGAUAAUGGAACUGUAGUGGGUGAUUUGAUGGGAAGACCAAACCAAUUGCAAGACAAAUUAUCAUCAACUGAACAAUCAUCCAUAUCUUGAGCUGCAUUUGCAUUCUGAAACAAUCUGAUCAUUAUGUACUGGAUUGGCCAUGGAAAAUGGUAUGGAGAACCAAAGCACACCCAUUAAGGUGGCUUGUUUUGGAUGGGUGUUAUCAGAGAAGCUUGUUUAACUCAAGAUAAUCUACAGAGAUCAGGUUUUCUCCUAAGCCAGAGGUCUCAUCUAUGUGUAGAAGGGUUCAUUGUAAAGUUGCUAAACAGUGUUGGGAACUCUUCCUGAAUCUCUGUGGUGUCACUUGGCCUAUGUUUACAGAUAUUAAGAGCCUAAGGGAUAGCUGACAAGGACAAUAUUGUAUGACAAGUGUGUGUGUGUGUGUGUAUAUAUAUAUAUAUAUAGACUAUAUAAGAAGAGGGAAUAACACACACGUGUGCUUCCUUGUAAAUAACAUUGAAUUUGAGGGGCAUUUCAGCGCUCAUUAAAUCUUCCCACUGCAUCAGCCUUGACUCAUUCUUCCAUGUGCAGCACCGCCAAACGCCUCCAUUUCCAGGCUCUAUUCUCUUCAAUUCCGUUUGUCUUUUAGCAGAGUCACCAACUGCAUCCUUCACCAAUUCUAACAACACCUGCUUCCUCAAACGUCUGCCGUCGCUUUGUCUUUUCUUGUUCUCAAUUUGGUACUUCAGUGGCUACUACCUCAGGUAAGUUGUUUAUGUUAUUGGUUAGACAUUUCAUUUUUCUGCUUUCCAGAAUCCAGCAAAUAUUAUGGUCAUCUGUUGCUUGUGCAUUUAAUUUUAUUUUGCAAUCGUUUUUUAAUUUGUUUAUAGCCCAUAAUUUUUGGGGUUUCUUCACUGCCUAUUAAAUGCACUUCCAGUUGCCAUUGUCAUCUUUAAAAUAUAUAAGAGAUCAUAUUUCUUCAUCGUCUAUCAUUUAACUACUGAAAGGUUAAAGAAUUUUGUAUUUGCAUCUCCCUUGAAAAGUCAGUGAAAACAGUUUAUAAUUUCCGGUAGUCUUUCUCUUAUUUAAGAGUAUUAUUAAAUUCUUUCCUUAGGUUUAAUUUAAGGUUUUGGAGGAAGGAACUGGUAGGUAAAGCACUAGAGUUUUGUUCUUUCUGUUAAACCUUUCCUCUUGCUAUAUUUGGUAGUGCUAGUUGGAAUAUUGUUGCUUGUGAGUUUUGAUGGACAUGAAAAGCUUGUGACUGAAUUAAACCAGUCAAACAGUUGUGCUCUUACCAACUCAACUAUGGUUGAAGCCUGUCGAGAUCCCAGAAACACCAACUGAUUUCAUCGAUGGUUUGUAUACUAUAUGCAGGGUUGCCAGCUCAUAUCUCCGACAUGGUUUUGCAAUUCACGUGUUAUUGGUCUUUCAAACUUGCUCUAUAUUGUCGUCAUUAUGUCCUUCUGAUGCAGUUCGGGACAUAAUUAUUACUUUCUUGUCAUGUUUUAUUUUGUUAAAUUAUAGUAAUUAUGAUUGAGAUAUAGUUGAUUGCCUCAACCUAUUGAUUGUUAUGCUCUGGAUAUAAGCAUUGGGUUCAAAUUCUGUUGUUAUAUGCUUUCAAGUCGAGAGUAUAUCGUAUCUCCUUGACAUAAUGGACUAUAAAUCUGCUAAAAUGAAUUUCUCUUGUGAAUAGACAACGAUGUUUAUGGAAUAUCAACUCGGCACAACACCUAUUACAAAGUUCAGUAGAUCAGGUGAUAUCUGUUUGUAUUCAACAUUGUAGGGCUGUGGAUUACUACUGAAUGCGGAAGAUUGCAGGUUUGUCCUGGUGAAAUUGUCAUUUUGCCUCAAGCAUAUUGGUUUGCUAUUGAUCUCCCGGAUGGACCUUCACGUGGUUAUGUCGCCGAAACUUUUGGAACUCAUCUUCAACUUCCUGAUCUGGGGCCAAUAGGUGCUUUCGAAUGUGCAAAACUACUUGCAAUUUAGACAACUGAUGAGAAGAUGGGAUUUUGAGUUUUGGUAUGCAAUGGGGAGCAAGAAGAGGAAGAGAGAGAGAGCCACUACACAUCCUCGUAACAAGUACUCUGAUAACCCGCCAGAUUUCUCCUUAUUGGCCUCUAAAUACUCUACCUUUGCACCUUACGUUUUCUACUCUGGAGAUGGUCGACCUAGAAUUGAUUGGACCGAUUUCAAUGCAACACGUGAACUCACCAGAGUCUUGCUCCACCAUGAUCAUGGACUCAAUUGGUGGAUUCCCGAUGGACAGCUCUGCCCCACAGUCCCCAACAGAUCAAACUAUAUUCAUUGGAUUGAAGAUCUUUUAUCAUCGGACAUCAUUCCUAAAGUUCAAGCUGACAGAAACACUGCUAAAGGUUUUGAUAUAGGAACUGGGACCAAUUGCAUUUACCCUCUUCUCGGUGCAUCUCUUCUGGGUUGGAAGUUUGUUGGCUCUGAUUUUACUGAUGUAGCUUUGGAGUGGGCAGAGAAAAAUGUCAAAAGUAAUCCUCAUAUUUCUGAAUUGAUUGAGGUCAGAAGAGUUAAUAUGGAAAACCCAGCAUCUUCCAGUGAGGAGUUGAAUGAUGAACCAGGAAAAUAUGGCCAAUGUACGGACGCAGACUUCAACAAUGGAAAGGCUGUUGUCAUUGGGCCUUCACCUCCUGCUCAUCUCCAAAUGCCCUCAGGUAUAGGAAAAGGUUAUGGUGGACCACCUAUACUUGUUGGUGUAGUCAAGGAUGGGGAGAAAUUCGACUUUUGUAUGUGCAACCCUCCUUUUUUUGAGACGAUAGAGGAAGCUGGAUUAAAUCCAAAGACUUCUUGUGGUGGGACUGUGCAGGAGAUGGUUUGUCCUGGGGGAGAGAGUGCUUUUAUCACUCGCAUUAUUGAGGAUAGUGUUCAACUAAGGCAAUCAUUUCGGUGGUACACCUCAAUGGUUGGAAGAAAAGCUAACCUAAAGGUACUGAUAUCAAAGCUUUGGGAGGUUGGAGCAACAAUAGUAAAGACAACUGAAUUUGUGCAAGGCCAAACAUGCCGAUGGGGGCUUGCCUGGUCAUUUCUCCCUGCUUCCAAGAAGAUUUUACCACCUCAUGUGGCUGAAAAGAAUAACAUGUCAUUCAUGCUUGAGGGUCUGCAGCGCCAUCAGAGUGCCUUCGAUGUAUUGCAAUCAGUGGAAUCCUACUUCUGCAAUAUUGGUGCAUCCUCUAAAUUAGACUCUGCCUCAUUCAAAGUUGAUGUAACUUUGUCAGCUGAGCAAUGUAAUACUAUCCUGAAGACCCAAACACAGAUUGGGACCGACCAGGAUAUAUUGAUAUCUGCAAAUUGUCCCUCUGACCAACUGAAUGACAUGCAUCUCUGCGUUUCUGUCUUCCAGCAGAUACCAGGGACACUUCUGGUGAAAGGAUUAUUGCUCCAGAAAGAGAUCCCUGUACCAGGGGUAUUUUCUGUUAUAUUCCAGCAAUUACAGGAAGACCUGAAGAGCAAAUUUAGUAAAGGCAUCAGAUGAUGGGUCCUUCUCUUGGUGCAGAAGAUAACCUGCGUAUGAUCUGCAAAACUACUAGUGAGAUGAUAGCAGUAUGACUUAUGUGUAACCUUUGCCUUUCUUUGCUCUCCUGUUCUAUGAUAGAAUUUCUUGUUGUUGAUUUAGGUCAAAGCAACUUCACUGACAGUAGCACUAUUGUGUAGAAAAUCUUAAGCUUGAAUGCUAUCCAAAUACUCAAUGAUCACCUCCCCAAAUGAUGUUUUACCCACUA